rnacentral:lncRNA from 1 species
UGUUGCGCUAUUUGUGGCAUCAUAUAUUCUGUCCUGCACCCAAAACAGUAUAAUUGUUUUACAAAUUAGAAAAAUCGAUGCUCCAUAAAAAACCAGAUAAAACUUAAUUACGUGGCCACCUUCUUACAGCCAUGCUAUUAUUAAGACUUAGAGCAAUAGGAAAGAUUUUUUGGGGAAGUGUGAAACUAAAUUCUUUUUUUAAUCUAUAUGAAGCAUUCACUCAUGUAGCUAUCCUUCUUGCUCAUCAUAGAAGCAAUUAAGUUGUAAAAGAUAAAUAUAUAGACAAAAGCUUUAUGCCCCAUAACCAAGUUUUCCAUGAAAAAGAAGGUUGAAUGACAUAUAAUGCGAUUUAGAAUCAUCCAAGAGAAAGAAAACGAAUGAAGGAAGAAGAAAACAUCAUACCAACAGCACAUGACUACGUACUAUCUAUGUUAUUGCCUGUAGUGCCUUCCUCUCAACGAUUCUACGUACUAUAUAUCUUGUUUUCAUCUUAUCAUUUGCUUCAAUCCUCAGAGUUGAGAAGAUUAAUAUAAUUACUUUGCACUCUUCUCCAGUCUCCAACUGGCCACCACCCUUAUCUUCUCAGAUAGAAUUUUACAAAAGAAAAUUUUUGCUACAUUUCAUGAUGCUGCGGAAAAAUAAUGUAAAAGAGAUUUUAUCAACUAUAAAUGAUUUAAAGAAAUAAAUUUCCCAAAAAUAUUAAUUAGUACAAAUAAGUAUGCAAGCGCCAUCAUAAAGAGCCUACAAAACUCAUCAAGGUUUGGGAUGAUCGCCCUAAAUUACAGUAUGCAUUUGAAAAUAAACAUUCUAAUCAAGUAACCCAAAAGCAACUAAUAGACUCCCUGGUAUAAUUUUGUAUGGAAUUUUUCGCAAACCAUUUUGUGCCGUACCUGCAAAGAAGGAAAAAUUGGGGAUAUUUUCACCCGUGGAAAACUUAAUAUAUCAAAAAUCAGAAUAUAUUAAAUCAACGACAAUCCUGCAUAAAAUAAUAAUUUUGUUAAUAUAUUCCACAAACAUUCAACAAUAUUUGACUAUAGUGCCAAAACAAGCCUUGCGUAAUGAAGCAGAAGGGUGUGAAAUAGGC